rnacentral:rRNA from 1 species
AGUGAACGCUGGCGGUAGGCCUAACACAUGCAAGUCGAGCGGCAGCACAGUAAGAGCUUGCUCUUACGGGUGGCGAGUGGCGGACGGGUGAGGAAUACAUCGGAAUCUACUUUUUCGUGGGGGAUAACGUAGGGAAACUUACGCUAAUACCGCAUACGACCUACGGGUGAAAGCAGGGGAUCUUCGGACCUUGCGCGAUUGAAUGAGCCGAUGUCGGAUUAGCUAGUUGGCGGGGUAAAGGCCCACCAAGGCGACGAUCCGUAGCUGGUCUGAGAGGAUGAUCAGCCACACUGGAACUGAGACACGGUCCAGACCCCUACGGGAGGCAGCAGUGGGGAAUAUUGGACAAUGGGCGCAAGCCUGAUCCAGCCAUACCGCGUGGGUGAAGAAGGCCUUCGGGUUGUAAAGCCCUUUUGUUGGGAAAGAAAAGCAGCAGGUUAAUACCCCGCUGUUCUGACGGUACCCAAAGAAUAAGCACCGGCUAACUUCGUG